rnacentral:lncRNA from 1 species
GUCAAUCAACUUUGAAACAGUCAACAUGAAAAUUUUAAAAGAUUUAAAAGUGUAAGAUAAUUUAGCAUACAAAUGUAAUUUAGAAUGUAAGAAUCUUUAUUAGUAAAUUCUUUUCGGAACCAUUUUUUGCGUGUAUUUUGUCACAUGACAUACUUGAUUCUAAAGUUGUAUUCAAGAUCCCAAAAUGUAGCACUCCUUAAAAAAUUUCAUACAUAAGAAAAACAAUUAUUGAUGGCAGGAAAAGAAACAGGUAAGAAAAACGAAAAUGCAAGCUGUCGGUUACGGUAGUGUUAAAAAGUAUAGGUGUUACAGAUUAAGGGUAACUUUUAUCAUCCUUCUUGGCAAGGGAAAGGAGGUCGACCUUUGAAAUCUUGGCAUUCUCCAAGCCAACUCUUCCAUCUCCAAGAGAUUUCUCUUGCACAACAAACCAAAAGAAAAUGAAUUGAAUAAUCUAGUAAACAAAUGAUCCAAUUUAUUAAUUGUAGAUAAGCAAUUCAUAAGUUUUCAAAUCCACAUGUCCCAUUAGAACUCUAAAUCCCAUUUAGAGUAACUAUUUAAUACAACAAUUAUCACACAGACAAACAAUUUUCAGGAUAAUUAACACCCUUCGGUUUUUCCUUAAGCUCUAGCUUGGAUCAAAAUUUGUAUUAUUUAUGAAUUAGGAAGUAUGCCUACGACUGAAAAGAUGCAAACCUGAGUGAGAAGAGGAAACAAAGAGAGAGGACAACACCAAAUAAAUCAUAGCUGGACCUCAGUAAUUGAAUACAUCGUGUGAUCAAGGUAACAACUACAAUUUCCUCAUAAAUUUCUCACUGCAAACCAUAGAAGUUUUAAGUGAGAGAGUACACAACCAAAAACUAACGAAUAGAACAAAAUAUAGACAAAAAAAGUACUGCUUCAAGACAUUGCUGCUCUUGACCGCUGAAUAAAUAUAACAGAUGACCAUUCCCAGCAUAUGAGGAAAAACUGAAUCAAUUACCAAGUAUUAGGCAACUUUCAACCACAUAUCUAGUAUUAGGCCUCAGUAAUUGAUGAAAACUGAAUCACUUACCUCUAAAGCCGUGAGACAAAUUACAUCAACUUGUGGUCCAGAAUCUGGAUAUAAUGGCGGCAGACAAUAAAAUUCAAUAAGAGUAGAUUCUUCAUUAUGCUUUCCUGUUCUUCCUCAGUAAUCCUAAAACCCAAAAUCAGCUUCCUUCCUGCGAAAAUCCAUGUAUAAAACCACUGUGAAUAGCAUAUUAAUUAUUUUUGAAAAAGACAAUCACAGAAAACUAAUUUCACAUCAAUCUUUUAAAGAUACAAACAAAAACAAAAAAUAACAAAAAAUAAAAAUUAAGGAUCUAGAUCAUUUACCCUUGCAACUGUCAAUAAAAAAGCACAUAUACACACACACAAAACAACCAUCUAAGGUUAGGAACGAUCAGAAGAACCUUAAAAACACUACCCAAUUGGGAAUUUAAAAAACAUACAUUAGAAAUCCACCUGACAGAGGAAAGCCUUGGUUAAGUAAUGAAUUAUCGAAGAAUAGAUUAUGAUCUGUACUGAACUCUCACGGCCCAAACAGCAGCGGGGUACCCAACUACAUUGAAGCACAACGUCAUAAUUCAGAAGUAGAGACCUAAACUACCAGAGCCCCAAUUCCUUAUAAUUAUGUUUCAAUGAAAGCGUGGCACUAUGGUAAAUCCAAUCCUCCAUGACCAUAGUCAUUUUUUUCCAGAGAAACAAAGGAAGAAGAAGAAUUGCAAAGGCAAUAAAUUUGGUAGAUGAAGACAAGUAAAAUUGCGGAGAUAUUAGGAAUCAAUGAAACCAUAAUAUCAGUUAGCACCCGCAGAUAACUCCCAUCACAUACAUUCUCCCAAAUCCGUGAUUCCCACAUCGUAUACCAAAGCAAGUGAAUUUAAUCACUUCUGUUAUCAAAAUCACAAUACACGUCUAAGUCAAACAAAUUUUCAAUAAAUCUUGUAUCCAAUUAAUCUAAAAUAAGUUAAACAAUGAAAAAUUAUGAAGCAUACCUCACAAAAACAGAAAAAAACAUACCUCUCCUUUCAAAUUACUUCUUCUCCUCUUUCGUGUCAUUCACCUAUUACAUAGUAAAGUUUGACUUCUGCACAUGGGAAGAAAUCGCACUAAACAAACAAAUUUGUUCACCAAAAUGCUAGUAACUUGGAAGACUUGCCCGUGACUAAUGCUUUAUGUUUAUCACUACCAAAUUUAGCUUCCAAUUCAGCCACAUCAUUUGUCUAAAUAACAUUAGUCCACCAAAGGCAUUGAUACAUGAAAUUUAGCUCAAAGAGUAAACAAAUAGGAAUUAUCUAUAAUAUAGAGUCCCGUUAAAUAAAAUACUUUCUAGCAUGAGUGUUGUGCAUUAUGAUCCAUGCUUUGCAUUUAAAAUAAAAAACACAGCCAGUUUACUGAAGAAAAAAAAAAUGAAUAACACUUAUUUCUAUUCCUCUUUACGUAUUAGACCAAUAAUUGGACUGGUAAACAAAGAAUAUCAUAAAGGCAUUUGACUGACCUCAAGAAACUUAAACAAAAGAGGAAAAGAAAUUGUUGAAAAUAGAUCAUAUACUUAUAGACUACAAAUAAUUAACUGCACUAAUGUAAGUUCCACAUAUCAGAACUUACUAAUGCUUUUCAAGUACUAAUUGCACUGAAAGUACUAAUGAAUUACAGUAAAAGUACCACAUUGAGUUUGACAUAAAAUUGUGCAUGUUUCCUAACCCAGCCAUGAGCAGGAUCAAAACAUAAUGUUGGUUUUUUAUCUUACCUCAAAGAAAAGCUGGUCAGUCCAGGAACAUUGUCUCACCAGUCCCUUAAUGUUGCUUUUCAGGUACUUCUGACUUGUUGCAAUAAAUGAAGGUGGUGGCUAUUUAGAGUAGAGAAAACAAAUUGUAAGAGACUAUGUGCUAUGUAGUGAGUGGUAUGAACUUAAACACUACACAGAAACAAUUGCAACACACAACUGGUAAGGAUACAAUUCAUAGGUGUCUACACUCACCUACACGUCCAAAAGAUAUCCAGUAUUCUAGUCAUGUAUCACUAUUGUAGGUAUUCACAUCCCAGCUGCACCAAAAAGGGAUCAUACACAUAGCAACAGAUUAUAUAGUAUCUGAAAACAUAAGUAAAGAUUUAUUAAUCGUAAAAGAAAAAUAUACACUGUCAUAUCACAUCAAUUUUGAGAGCCAAAAAUGAUGGUGAUGGUGUUAGGAGGAUUUGGAAAUCAAGGGCUACAUUUGCAUUUGUGAAAUACAUACAACUUGGUAACGUAAAGAUCAAAUAUCAUUAGCCUAGAUAAUGCACCAAUUUUGAGAGGCCAAAAUUAUUAUAUUGGUGUUAGGCCUUGUAGCUUACCUUAGACAUUAUGAUGAGAUGAGCGCCUGUCAUUCCUGGCAUGCAGUCAUCUGUAAUGAUGAAAUUCACAUCUACAUUCGGUAGAAAGAGCAGGGCAAUUGAAUUAGAUAUUGAUAGAUACAACCUGUAGAAAGAGCAGGGCAAUUGAAUCAGAUAUUGAUAGAUUAAAGCUACAUAAUCACACGCAGAAUAAAAAGUAAGAAAACCACCCAACAUGAAACAAUAAACACCUGAUGAUGAUUGCUUGGAGACCAAAAAGAGCUUUUGGGAUGUCACUUUGAUCCUCUUCAUCAUUCGAACUCAAACAUAUUAAAGCUUUACUUCCAGAAUCUACAGCAAUAAUUGCAAGAAUAGAAGAAACCUAGAAGAUUCAGUAUUUGGAAUCCAAAAAUGCAAUCCUUCUAUAUGAUCCUAAUAAAUUCGCAAACUGGUAGAUACUGAAUGCAAAAUCUGUGAACUCAAAACGGAGCUGAAACUAGAAAAAAGAACCUGCUGCGGGCUAGAAAGUUGUCUUAGUUUAUGUUCAUUUUUCAAGAAUUUUGUGGUGGUGUAGUGUGGUUGAUAAAAUAGCAAUAGGACACGCAAUAUAUGUAAAAAAACAUUACACCGUUACAAAAUGGUAGAUGUGAUUUCUGUAAGAUUGCCUGUAGCUGGAGGCAAUCUCCCCACUUUGAGAACUCAACAAUUUCAUAUGCUUUGCUACAGAUAACUACAGAUCACAGCAUAACUACAGAUCACUCUCUUCUUGGUCACUGAAAUUAGUAAUCUUGGGACAGAAAUUUUGAACAAAUUUAUUCCAAAGCCAUGAAGAUCUUGACAAGUUUUUAUUUCUUUAAGAAUUGAAAGGAUUCCAACUUUGGGCUGUUUUCAACUUUGUGUCAAAGUAAAAAAGGAAGAAGAAGAGGAAACACCCACACCAAAAUCACAGUUCAGAUUAAGCUAAUUUAACACAACCACAGGAAGCCACAAAUACUGAUAUCUUUUUUGUCUUUCUUUCUUGUUUAGAUUAUGCAUGUAUAUUAUCAUCAUCCAACCUAAAUCUGAGUGCCUAUUCAUGAAAAGAGAAAAGAAAACCGAAGUCAAAUACCAGUAUGCUUUGCAAGGACAAUGAAAGAUAAAAUGAAGACAUCUUCAUAGACCACAACGUACCAUGGACAUGCCAUAAUCUGCUUGGGACCAAAAUCAUUAUAUCGCCACUUCAUACCAAUUUGCAGAUACACAGUAUUUCAGUAUAAACCAAUACAUCAAGUCACCACAUUUAACAAGUAGAAAGCUCUACAGAAACAUUUGAAGAACUUACCAUACAAAACCCCACAACCUUCAAAUUCGAAUUCAAAACAAAUGUGGCCAAAUACCUUAAGCACAUAUCACACAAAAAUGAAUAAUGAACAUACUUUCAGGGCUCAGGGGUUCACAUUCCCUGUAAUGCUCUGCAUUAGUCAAGAUUGCAGAAAUUUAGCUAAAUUGUGUACAGAGGCUCUCAGUAUGAAAUUUAGCCGGAAGGCUAUCAAAUCACAAAAGAAUGUAGGUUUCACCUUUUUUGGAGCUAAAGAAAAUAUGAUACUUUUUAUGAUAUGAAACAGUUGGUGCUUUAAUAAUUUUAAAGAUUAUUUGUAAAACUAAAACUGAUGGAGAUGUAUUGGUAAAUGAUCAUUGUUGUAAGGGUGUCACUGGUUAUUAUAAGAUGAUUUUCCAUUUACUGUCUAGUUUUACAUUUAGACAAUCACAUGAACAUGGCACAAUAAUUACACGUCGGUUUAAUACAGUUGAGGACAGUAAAAUGGCAAGGUCCUUUCUUAACCAAAAUUUAGUACUUCAGAGAAACUUGGAAAUAUGCACAAAGGAUAUACCAAUCUUGCGAAAGGAGACUUAAUGAUAAUGAUCUCAAAUGAUUAAGGGUUUAACAAAACAGAAAAAAAAUUUGAGAAUAAUUCCAACAAAUGAAACAUACACAGAGAAAUCAGCUUUCUAUCUCCCAAUGUUCUUAGCUUACUAAAUUAACUGAAUAACAGAAUUAAGAAUUGGAUAAAUAAAACUUCUUAAUUAAUUCGUUGGCUUCUGGGAAACUUUCAGUUCAAAAUAUCUUUCUAUGCACAGUGAAAAUUUUUAUAUCAGUACACUUAUAGAGGAAGCCUAUCACUGAUAAACUUCUAUUAAUUUCAAAAAAAUAAAAAUACAAUAAGCAUUUAGCAGAUGAGAGAUAUAUAAUAUAUUGAGAAUUGACAAUAUGAAAUGCAUAGUUAGAAGUAAAUAUGGAUGUGCUUCUCAGUAUGCAAAAUCCAGUACAAAAUACAUUUGAUUUGUUUACUGCCAAAGGUACAUUUACAAAAAGCAUCUCAAGGUUUUCAAAAUUUGAAACUUUUGAUCUUAUGAAACUUAACUUCUAAUAUACCCGUUUGAAGCUGCAAACUACCUGUAAAAUCCAUGGAUUACUAGAAAAAGUGACAUGCAAAGUACCAAAGCUUUACAAUAAUACUGAAUUAUCUCAUUAAUCACUAACAAUACAGUUGUUUGCAUUAUGAUUCUUAUCGAUUGAACAAAACUAGAAUCGAAGAAAAGCAAAAACUAAAAUCAAAGAUAAAAAAGAAAAGAAAAAAGAAGAAGCUGGUAGCAGAUUAAAAACGAUAAAAUGCAAACCCAGAACCGAAAAAGUGGAAUUUUAGAGCGUUAAGCAUACCUGGAAAACUGACCAACUGGAUAUCACCAGAAAACAACCAAAACCCAGAAUCAACAUUCCACACCGCCAUCAUCAAAUUGAACCAGGAAAAAAAAAAUUAACUUCAUCAGAGACAAAGCUUUGGAGGAUUCUAGUAAUUUGGGGAAAAAAAAGAAGAUAUAAAAAAAUUGAGGAAACUAGAUCAAAAAAUAGAAAUGAAAAGUAGCAAGAUUUGAUGUUUGCCUGAAUUGUUAGCGUGGAUAAAACCCCGUCUCUCUCUCUAUUUUCCACUCUGUGUAUGAACCUUCUCAUGAAGACAGAGUCACUCACACUCUCUCCAAAUUACCUCAGAGGAAGACAAGCUAGAAGCCUCUAGAACUGAGUGGCAGCUCCAAAUAUCAACAGGAAGAAGACAUAAUUAGAUUGGGGGAGGAGGGCACAUGCGGAAUUGCAUGACCCAAAAGUGAGGCCAAAAUCCGGAAAUACACUGUUUUUUACUGUUCCAUAUAAACAGUCCAAAGAAAAAUAGAUAUGUAGUAAAAACUAGAACGUUGCCCGCGCGCUGCGGCGGGUUGUAUAGCAGAUAUACUGCUAAACUUAGUAUUAUAAAGUUCAUAACAGAUAUAAGGCAAUGAUGAAAGCCAGGUUCAGCUAAUGACUUGAUUUUUAGAUAUAAGGCAAUUUGAUUAUGAAAUGAAAACCUAAACAGUUAAGUGCAGUCAUCAAGAUAAUCUUCCCAAUAGUUGAAAUCUGGACACCGCGAGAUAGAAGAUGAAGUGAUUCAGAACACCGUUACUUGUUACCUAGUCGUAAGUACCGACUCCAAUACUCAAACUCGUACUCCUUCAGUCGAACUUGUACUCAUUCUUCAGUUCAUUUCUUUACCUCAUGAUAAUCCAAAAAACAGAUACUUGAAUUAAUUUUGGUUUAACGAGAAAGGAUUGCUGAUCUAAAAGUGAAAACAAAAUUUCAGUUUGAAAGACGCAUUCCUUACCAGCUUUAUAGGAUCUAAACCCGAUUGUCUUUCCACUAAGAUCCAGAGCUGCACAUUAAUCACCAAAUAGAAUUUUAAGCACAGUUAAAGGCAAAUUCUAAUAGUUUUUUUUCUUUUUAACCUUUACAAUAUUAAAAACAAAAGUAAAGAAGCAAUCAACCUGUCCAAAUGAAAGGAAUAAAUUGCAAAGCUGAUACAGCGAUAGUGAAAUUGAAGAUCAUGACCUAGUUGAAAAAUCUAUGUUGAUAUGAAACAUUUCAGUAGGCAACUAUUCAUAUAUUCAAGUGCAUCUUACAUAUCGCAUCAAACAAACUUACUAUUCAUAUAUUUAAGUGCAUCUUACCUUUCCAAAGCAAACACCCAAUUUUUAACCAAUGUUCAUUGCACUAUCAAAUCCAUACAUAACCUGAAACCACAAAACUCACCAAAAAUUGAUGAGCAACAUGCUUUAAUACAAUAACUAUUUCCUUCACCUAAUAAACCCCCAACAUGAUUCUAAUUAAACAAUGACGAUGAGAUUUGAAAGAAAACAUUAUCAAUAAUUUUACCUGUAACCCGAAAAUCCAGAAUUGCCUUCCUUACGCUGCAAAUUUUGUCAAGAUCGGAAAGAGAUCAAAAACAGUUCGGAUUUCAAAAAGUGAGCAAAGAAGAUCAAAAUUCAAAUUCACAAUAUAAAAAACGAAAUAACAAACUCAGGAUAAGUAAGCACACCUGGAAAAAUAUAACCCCCUUACAGCCACAUACACACAGAGCACAACCUUCAAUCUAAAAUCCAAUUCCAAAACUCAUGCAGAACAACAGAGCAAACAGUUAAAGUAAAAAGGAAGCGAAAUACUUAUCAAAAUUAAGGAAACAUUCGAGUGAACCCAACAGCUUUUAAGUAAAACUGUUGCACAAUUCCUAAAUGUCACACUUCCCUUGGCAUGACUUGAUACAUGUACUAAAAUUUUAAGUAAUGAUUUGUGCAUAAAGCCACAAGAGCUUGAAAUAGAAGCUUUUUCCAAUUUUCUAUGUUCUUUCUGCUGAUUGGUUUGAUCCGAAUUCAGAAAUUGUUCGAUAUCAUUGAUAAUUACUAUCACAAAUCGGGUUUACAGACUUCAUAUCAAAAUUUCGUAUCUGAAGCAAAUGUCACAAAAGCCACCAAUGAAAUUAAAUCAUUAGUUCUGCCUGAAUAAAUAUUAAGAUUGUGAGAUUGCUCAAAACUACAAACAAAUCGACGGUAGCAGAAAUCAAUUACAAUAGAAAUAUGUACAUUCAAAACCCAUAACUCAUAAUCUCGCGUCCAUGAGACCAACAAAAACUCAAAGCAAAACACCCAUCCAAUACAUUGAGGCCAGUAGAGCAAAACACUCGGCAAAAUAACAAUAGGGCAGGUAAUUAUCAUCGGCAGCAACUCACAAUCACACAACUGAGAUCCAAACAGAUACCAAACCAAAAAGAAAAAAAUCCACCUAUAGUUGAAAUCUGGAAACCGAGAGGCAAAGGACGUAGUGAUUCAUCAUCUGCCAACAAAUCACAACCACACAACUAAGACCCAUACAGAUACCAAUCCAAAAUAUAAAAAAUAGAGACAAGUCCACCAAUAGUUAAAAUCUGGAAACCGCGAGAUAGAAGAUGAAGCCAUUCAGAACACCGUUAGUUGUUACCUGAUCGUAAGCUCGUACUCCUUCCGUCAAACUUGUACUCAUUCUUCAGUUCAUUUAUUUACCUCAUGAUAAUCCAAAAAACAGAUACUUGAAUUAAUUUUGGUUUAAGGAAUGGAUUGCUGAUCUAAAAGUGAAAGCAAAAUUCAGUUUGCGCAUUCCUUACCAAAUUUAUAGGAUCUAAACCCGAUUGUCUUUCCACUAAGAUCCACAGCUGCACAUUAAUCACCAAAUAGAAUUUUAAGCACAGUUAAAGGCAAACUCUAACAGACCAAAAUGAUAGUAGGAAAAAAGAGAGCACCUUUCCAGGAAAAGUGAGUGUAUUUGUGUGUCUCUGUUUUGUUUUCCUUGAAGGGAAGUAAAUCUUCUGUUUUGUUUUCCAUUAUAUUUGUGUCUCCUUGUCCGCCUCCUCGUUCUUUGCUUUUUGUCUUAAUAUAAAGCUGUUUUUUUUAUUAAAAAAUAUAUAUAUAUAUAUUUCACAUCCCACAUAGUAUGUAAUACUUAUAGGGAUGGUACCAAAAAGUCACCAUCAAAUAAUAUUACUACUCAUAUCAAAAUAUAUAUAUAUUACUGCAGCUAUAUGGUCCGUAUCUUGAACCUUCAUAUCGACUUAGUUGCCUCACACUGGUAAUACUCCAAAAAUGCCUCUUUUUUCAAUCUGAUAAACAUAUCAGUUCCUUCAAUUCUAUUACUUCAGAAACUAUCAUUUUGGUUGGAUGUCCACGAUUCUAUAAGAAUGGCAAUACAAAACUUCAAUACGACAUCAUUACCUGCUCCAAUUUCCUAGAGAACUAACUUUUUGACCAUGUAAGGCAUGCAAUAGAUAAUCACUUUUAAAUUAACAAAUGCAUGCGUAGAAGUUGAGUAGUCAUACCACUUUGUGCAUUCAUAUCUAAGGCGGAGAAUUGAGCCAACAGCCACAAAGAUCAGGAUUUCCAACAAAACUGCAAGAAAAAGUUUACAUUAGCCUAAAAGGAAAAAAAAAGCCAUGAAAAAGGAGUUGUGAUAACAACAACAACAACAGGUGGGCAUCAAUGAAGUAAGCUGAACCCUCAAUCAGCUGCUAAAAUUUUAGAAGCUUAGGAAAUACAACAUUAGCAUGUCUAACCUGUCAGGGAAGAACCUAGAGGUAUCUCAUGUUAGUAAUGAGACACAUUUCUGCAAGAAAUCAAUUUCAUGUUAGUAAAACUGAAUAAUACAUGGGCAAUCUUAUAUCAGACCGCGCUAAACAUAUAAAAAUAAUCAGAAUAUUCAAAAACAAUUACUCACAGCAUUGCAAGACUGAGGCAAUAGAUCAUCCCCUAAUAUGUUGUUGUGCUCUGACAAUUUUCAACAAUGACAACAGUAUCAAAAAGAAAACAGUACGUAAAUAUCCUAAACUUUGGACCACAAUCAAGGUUCUAAAAAACGUUGGGCGCUAGUCGGGCGGACAGCGCCAAAAAGAUUAAUCGGGGAUUAAUCGGUUUUCUAUUUUUGUAUAUUUUUAUAUUUUUUAAUACCUAGUAAUUAUAUAAAUAAAGUUAUAUAAGGCAUUAUAAUAUCUAAAAAUAUUAAAAAUACUCAAAAUAUAGAUAUAAUGUCUUUUUCUUAAUUUAUUUAUUCAGAUUUUAUAUGAUAAAUAAUUAAAAGUUAUAAUUAUUGAUCAAAAUUUUUGAAAAUUAAAUAAACUUGUUGGAGGUGAUAGGCCUAUAACCAUAUGUAAAGCCCAAGAGUAAAUGAGGUCUUUUUUAUCUUUAGUAGAACCCUAACAAUUAUACAAGUCUAACAACAUCAUCUUCUCUUCUGCCUCCUCCUUCUCUUUCUGUCUCCUUCUUCUCUUCUGCAGAUGCCCACCGUCCUCUGCUUCCUCUUCUCUAUUUGCUCUUCUCUCUCUAUUCUCUUCUUCUCCAUUUCAUUGCAAUAAAAACCCAGCAAAUUACAAAAAUAAUGAAGCCCAGACCUACAAAAAAAAAAAAAAAAAAAAAACUAGUCGGCGCUCUGCCCAGCCCCGCCCAUCUCCGCCCAGCCCGCCCAACCCUGCCCAGCUCCGCCCAGCCCCGCCUAGGCGGACACAAAACGGCCAGCCGACUACACCAGGCGAUUUGCCUGAAAUCAGGGCAGCUUAAGGGCUCCGGGCACCCAGGCGGCCACCUAGGCCGUUUUUUAGAACAUUGACCACAAUAGACAUGGUCACUUACAGUAAGAACAAAUUCUGCAGCUCAUAAGUACUUGAGGAAUCAAAAAUUUCACAGUUUGGAUAAAAUCAAGCUAUCCAUAUAGAUGCAACAGCAUGUAUACCAAACCUAAAACUCACUUUCCAAGCUUCACUUUUCAUAUCUAGUCAGUCCCAAUCCAUUUCAUACCAGCUCUCUAUAUUCGCAACCUUUCCAAAGCAAACACCCAAUUUAUAACCAAUGCACAUUGCACUAUCAAAUCCAUAUAUAACCUGAAACUUAGAUUAAGCUAAUUACUACACAAAUACUGAUGGCCUCUAUUUUCUUUUUACAUCAAAACUCUGGCCACAUAUGGCUUGUGAUUUAGAGUGUGGAAACAACCAUUCUUAUCUUAGGUAAGUCUUAGUGCAGAUCACUUCAUUCCGAACAUAACAUAAGCUGUUGAAAGUGAUCAUAUAUAGAAGAAUUAUGAAUUCAUGAAAUCAAGAAUGGUCUAAAAGUGAAAACAUUGUAAAAUAAACCCCGAAAAUGAUCCAUGAUCUUUGCUCUAUUUAUCGAGAUUCAAAGUAAAAUCAAACAGCGUUUGAAACAUAUCCCAAAAGUGUAGGCUGGAAACUCUAGUGGUUUUAUAAACAGUAAAAUUUUCAAAGGCAGAGGAAAAAGUAGGAUGAAAGUAGAUCAACCUCCUAAACUUGGUUUUCCAUUUCCUUGAACAAGGCUGUAUCUUUUCUCGCCUUAACAUGCCCUUUCUCGAUCUCAAUCUUGCCUCACAAAUGGUAGUUGUUGGCCUAUUUGUGAUGGAGCCUCCUUCUGCAGAUGUCACCAAUAUUUAAGUCAACAACGAUCAACCAAGUGGUACAACAAUUAUCAAUUGCUUUACUGAGCUAACAACUAAAAUAAGAUCAUAUCAAUCUCACACAAAAAAUUGUAAUUCAUUCACACAAGCAAGUCAAUGAAACAAUAAUUAAGUGCAGAUUACUAAAGAGAAAUGCUCUUUAACAGUUCAACAUAGACACUGCUGUUAUGUUUUUUUUUUAACAACGUCAGCUUCACAAAAACAAUGUUUCACCUGAGUUUAUUCGUGCCCCCGCGUUGCUACGGGUUUCAAAAGCUCAUUUCAGGUUUCAAGUCUUUGAUGUAUUCAUGCUAGUUUGAGUAGUAAGCUUUGAGGGCUAGACAAUGAAGUACAAUACUCCGAUUGCAUAUGAUUCGCAAUAUAUGUAGUAGAACAUGUCGUAUUAAUAUGGCCACCAGCACUGACGUUCUGGUAGCGUUAAAAAGUAUAGGUGUUACAGAUUAAGGGUAACUUUUAUCAUCCUUCUUAGCAAGGGAAAGGAGGUCGUCCUUUGAAAUCUUGGCAUUCUCCAAGCCAAC